AGCAUUCACAAAACGAUAGUAGAAGUUGUAGAAGGUGUAGCAUUACAUUGUAUUGUUGUUUGGUACGAUUUGGUUCGAACUCCAAAAUAUAACAAAAAUGAUAUGUCCAUUGUUGCAAAUGUGGGAUGUGUUAAAAUUGUUUUUCUUAACUGGUUUUUUAAUACAAUUAUUUAAACACGCGAUGUGAUCUUCUAUAAUAUCGACAUCGUUAUUAUAAUGCGGUUAUCGAAUCUACGCCACAAGAGGAUUUUAAACUUGCGUGCGCUUGUGUGUGUUACAAUACACGCAAAGCUCGCAUUGAGUUGUCUCACGAGACAUAAACACGCGCUGUCGGGGGUAAUGACAUCGUUGAAUUUCAUGUGAGAUACAUGUCGUGCGCUGGUGUGUGUUAGCACACAUGCAAAGCAUAAUCAAUGACGUCACACGGCGUGAAGCAAACGCGUCGUGCGCUGCGUUGUGUGCGUUGUGUGCUGGUGUGUGUGACCAUACAAAGAAAGCUUUACAUCAGCGCGCCGUGGCCACUGGCUGAACCGACUCAAGCGGUUUGACUGUUCUUUUGACGAAAGCUAAACUAACCGCUUACAAAAUGGCGCAAUAUGUCACGAAUUUAUCAUGCAUCAAGUUAUAUUUUCUUUAGUAUAAUAAUUACAUUCGUUUAGUUAAGCAACUUGUUUAUGAUAAUUGUAGAAAAGUGUAGAAAAAUGACAUCUGCAUUAUAUCCUGGGAUGAAGAAACGUUAUUUUAUGUCGAUUUCUUUAGAUGACAAAGGAGGUAACCAAAUAGCAUAUCUUACAAAAUCUGAGGACAAUAAUAAGGAUCGUUUAUCAAGGUUAAAAUAAUUAUUUUACUAAAUUAAGACAUUAACAUAUCCAUGUGUUCGACAUAACCUCACUUCUUAAAUCUCUUAAAUUAGUCGGUUGAGAAGCGGAUCGAGAAUGAUUGUUUGAAUAUUCGUACAAAAUUGGAUGAAACGAUGAACAAUAUACAGAUCUUUAGACAGGCUCAAAUAAUGUAUGUUUAGGAGCAACUUGAAGAUAAUGGAGAUUUAUCUUCUUAAUAUAAAACCUCUAAAAUUGGGAACAGUAUGUCAUAUAUGCAUGAACUUGAUUGAUGUAUUGAUGUAUAAUGAACUGAAGAUAUAAUGAAUUCAAUCAGGUUAAAAAAAAUGUAUGUGCAAAAGCGACUCGAAGACGAUUUAGAUUUGUCUCCUGAAUAUAAAACUUCCAAGAAGUACAUCAUAUAUGAAUAUCCUGUAUCCUCGCAUUUGAUGUAAUGAACUGGCGAUAGAAUGAAAUCAGUCAGUGUUAAAAAUGUAUGUGUAAAAGCGACUUUAAGAUGAUGGAGAUUUGUACACUGAACAUAAAACUUCCAAAAUUUGGGGCA